rnacentral:rRNA from 1 species
UACGGAGGAUGCAAGCGUUAUCCGGAAUGAUUGGGCGUAAAGCGUCCGUAGGUGGUCAUGCAAGUCUAUUGUCAAAGCACAAGGCUUAACCUUGUAAAGGCAGUGGAAACUGCAUUAACUCGAGUGCAGUAGGGGUCACUGGAACUGACGGUGGAGCGGUGAAAUGCGUAGAUAUCGUCAGGAACGCCAAUGGUGAAGACAGGUGACUGGGCUAGUUCUGACACUGAGGCACGAAAGCGUGGGGAGCGAACGGG